rnacentral:rRNA from 1 species
AUCAAUAAGCGGAGGAAAAGAAACUAACAAGGAUUCCCCUAGUAACUGCGAGUGAAGCGGGAAAAGCUCAAAUUUAAAAUCUGGCGGUCUUUGGCCGUCCGAGUUGUAGUCUGGAGAAGCGUUUUCCGCGUUGGACCGUGUACAAGUCUCUUGGAACAGAGCGUCAUAGAGGGUGAGAAUCCCGUCUUUGACACGGACUACCAAUGCUUUGUGAUGCGCUCUCAAAGAGUCGCGUUGUUUGGGAAUGCAGCGCAAAAUGGGAGGUGAAUUCCUUCUAAAGCUAAAUAUUGGCGAGAGACCGAUAGCGAACAAGUACCGUGAGGGAAAGAUGAAAAGCACUUUGGAAAGAGAGUUAAACAGUACGUGAAAUUGCUGAAAGGGAAACGCUUGAAGUCAGUCGCGUCGUCCGGAACUCAGCCUUGCUUCGGCUUGGUGCACUUUCCGGAUGACGGGCCAGCAUCGAUUUUGACCGCUGGAAAAGGGCUGGAGGAAUGUGGCACCUUCGGGUGUGUUAUAGCCUUCAGUCGCAUACAGCGGUUGGGAUCGAGGAACGCAGCACGCCUUAUGGCUGGGGUUCGCCCACAUUCGUGCUUAGGAUGCUGGCAUAAUGGCUUUAAACGACCCGUCUUGAAACACGGACCAAGGAGU